GGGGCUAUAGCUCAGCUGGGAGAGCGCCUGCUUUGCACGCAGGAGGUCUGCGGUUCGAUCCCCGCAUAGCUCCACCA
rnacentral:tRNA from 5 species